AGAGUUUGAGUCCUGGCUCAGAACGAACGCUGGUGGCGUGUCUUAUACAUGCAAGUCGAGCGAGGCAGCAAUGCCGAGCGGCGAACGGGUGAGUAACGCGUAAGCAAUCUGCCCCGUAUCAGGAAAUACCCGUGCCAACGCGCGGUUAAUGUCCAGGAGAGUGGCCCCCUGCAUGGGGGUUGACUAGAGAUUUAUCGGUACGGGAUGAGCUUGCGUCCGAUUAGCUAGUGCGGGCAACGGCCCACCAAGGCGACGAUCGGUAGCCGGCCUGAGAGGGUGAUCGGCCACAUUGGGACUGAGAUACGGCCCAGACUCCUACGGGAGGCAGCAGUAGGGAAUAUUGCACAAUGGGGAAACCCUGAUGCAGCAACGCCACGUGUGGGAAGAAGCAUUUCGGUGUGUAAACCACUGUCGUGAGGGAAUAAGGCCUAUUCUAGGAUAGGAUUGAAUGUACCUCGAAAGGAAGCACCGGCAAACUUCGUGCC
rnacentral:rRNA from 1 species